AAUCGCGCAUCAGCCAUGGCGCGGUGAAUACGUUCCCGGGCCUUGUACACACCGCCCGUCAAGCCAUGGGAGCCGGGGGUGCUUGAAGUGCGUCGCCGCAAGGCGCGCCCUAGAGCAAAACCGGUGACUGGGGCUAAGUCGUAACAAGGUACC
rnacentral:rRNA from 1 species